UUUAGGUUAUGAUGUGGUUACUCGAGACACAGCAUUUGGGGCGCCCUCAAAUUCAAUAAGAUCCUUUCUCCAAAAAACAUUUGAGAGAACUUUGGUGGAAAAACUAUGUUGAGUAGCUUGCUAAGAUGGCUGGCUAGCUAGCUAGUCAAAGUGUGUAUGUUGUAGUUUUUAAUUUAAAGUACCAACGAACUAAGCUAGUGAAACCUAAGUUUGCGCAAGGGUUAACUUUUGGCUAACGUUGACUGAGUUUUUUUUUGCGUAGCUAUUUUGGUGGUUCACGCGAACAGCUCGACAGCGUUCACUACCUUAGCUGCCUAACUAGUGAGUUUUAAUGGAGGUCAGAGAAUCUUUUUGUACGUUUCGCCACAAACUGUCAAGUGCAGUAAGGUUGGUGAAAUCCCUAAAGAUGAUCAUGGAGUCCCGCCCCUUUACUUAGUAAGCUAACCUACACAACUGGACAGUAGAUCGACAUAAUGAACAGUGAUCAGGCGUGAAUUCCGUCGUGGGACUCGAAUGACAUUUACGAAACUAACUCGCAAGAUGGUGGAAUGAACUCCCGCUAGCUGUCCGGACAACAGAG